CACUUCUAAGGAAGGCAGCAGGCGCGCAAAUUACCCAAUCCUGACUCAGGGAGGUAGUGACAAGAAAUAACAAUAAACCGGCUUAUGCCGGUUUAAUUGGAAUGAGUACAAUUUAAACAUCUUAACGAGGAACAAUUGGAGGGCAAGUCUGGUGCCAGCAGCCGCGGUAAUUCCAGCUCCAAUAGCGUAUACUAAAGUUGUUGCAGUUAAAAAGCUCGUAGUUGGAUUUCUGUGGGGACGGAGCGGCCGGCCGCAACACGCGGUUCGAGCUAGCGCUUUCCCUACAUCCUGCCGCGAACCGUGCUACCAUUAGUUUGGUGGCGCCGGGGAUCGGCUCGAUUACUUUGAGAAAAAUAGAGUGUUCAAAGCAGGCCACAUGCCUUGAAUAAGUUAGCAUGGAAUAAUAACUAAGGACUUCGGUUCUAUUUUGUUGGUGUUCGGGACUGAAGUAAUGAUUGAUAGGGACAGUUGGGGCGGUCUGUAUUCCAAAGCGAGAGGUGAAAUUCUUAGACCUUCGGAAGACAAACAGCUGCGAAAGCGUUCCGCAAGGAUGUUCCCUUUGAUCAAGAACGAAAGUUGGGGGAUCGAAGACGAUCAGAUACCGUCGUAGUCUUAACUAUAAACUAUACCAGCUAGGGAUCGGCCAACGUUAUUCUAUACCGACUUGGUCGGCACCUUAUGAGAAAUCAAAGCAUCUGGGUUCCGGGGGGAGUAUGGUCGCAAGGCUGAAACUUAAAGGAAUUGACGGAAGGGCACCACCAGCCGUGGAGCCUGUGGCUUAAUUUGACUCAACACGGGAAAACUUACCAGGUCCAGACAUAGUAAGGAUUGACAGAUUGAUAGCUCUUUCUUGAUUCUGUGGGUGGUGGUGCAUGGCCGUUCUUAGUUGGUGGAGUGAUUUGUCUGGUUAAUUCCGUUAACGAACGAGACCCCAGCCUGCUAAAUAGUUCGCUUAAUGAAUUUCAUUUCGUAGAGCUUCUUAGAGGGACUUUGCGUGACUAACGCAAGGAAGUUGGGGGCAAUAACAGGUCUGUGAUGCCCUUAGAUGUUCUGGGCCGCACACAGGCUAUACUGGCGCCUGCAACGAGCAUAUCAGCUGGCCCGAGAGGGUCUUGGCUAAUCUUUUGAACCGGCGCCGUGCUUGGGAUUGACCUUUGCAAUUGUUGGUCAUGCAACGAGGAAUGCCUUGUAAACGCGAGUCAUCAGCUCGCAUUGAAUACGUCCCUGCCCUUUGUACACACCGCCCGUCGCUCCUACCGAUGAAUGUUCCGAUGAAAUUUUCGGAGAGCACCUGUGAACUUGGCUCUGCCUUGCGAACGGGAGGCUCAAAGUCACUUAAAUCUGAACAUUUCGAGG
rnacentral:rRNA from 1 species